AACGAACGCUGGCGGCAGGCUUAACACAUGCAAGUCGAACGCCCCGCAAGGGGAGUGGCAGACGGGUGAGUAACACGUGGGAACGUGCCCUUCGCUUCGGGAUAGCCUCGGGAAACUGGGAGUAAUACCGAAUACGCCGUAUUGGGAAAGAUAUAUCGGCGAAGGAUCGGCCCGCGUUGGAUUAGCUAGUUGGCGGUGUAAUGGACCACCAAGGCUACGAUCCAUAGCUGGUCUGAGAGGACGACCAGCCACACUGGGACUGAGACACGGCCCAGACUCCUACGGGAGGCAGCAGUGGGGAAUCUUGGACAAUGGGCGCAAGCCUGAUCCAGCCAUGCCGCGUGAGUGAAGAAGGCCUUAGGGUUGUAAAACUCUUUCGCCGGUGAAGAUAAUGACGGUAACCGGAGAAGAAAGCCCCCGGCUAACUUCGUGCCAGCAGCCGCGGUAAU
rnacentral:rRNA from 1 species